rnacentral:rRNA from 1 species
AGUGAACGCUGGCGGUAGGCCUAACACAUGCAAGUCGAACGGCAGCACAGUAAUAGCUUGCUCUUACGGGUGGCGAGUUGCGUACGGGUUAGGUAUCCUUCGGAUUCUACUUUUUCGUCUUGGAUAACGUAGGGCUACUUACGCUAAUACCUCCUACCACCUACGGGUGAAAUCAGGAGAUCUUCCGACCUUGCGCGAUUUAAUGAGCCGGUGUCGGGUUGGCUAGUUGGCGGGGUAAAGGCCCACCAAGGCGUCGAUACGUAGCUGGUCUGAGAGGAUGAUCAGCGACACUGGGACUGAGACACGGUCCAGACUCCGACGGGAGGCAGAAGUGGGGAAUAUUGGAAAAUGGGCGGAAGACUGAACCAGCCAUACCGCGUGGGUGAAGAAGGCCUUCGGGUUGUAAAGCCCUUUUGUUGGGAAAGAAAAGCAGCAGGUUAAUACCCCGCUGUUCUGACGGUACCCAAAGAAUAAGCACCGGCUAACUUCGUG